AAUAGAGGUGAAUUUCUGUUAAUAAUUUUAUUGGGCUCCCCUUCUUCUAUAAGUUUAAAUCUAGCUAUAAAUAUAACUAUUAUUUAGUGUAUAUAAAAUCGCAGGGUUAAUCAAAAAUCAUUUAGUACAAAAAAUUUUGUAAUUAGCCAAUCUAACCAAAGUAAAUAAAUGAUCUAUUAGGUGCCAGCAUUCGCGGUUACACCUGUAUUUAGUAUGUUAUUCACGGCCCAGGGCCCCUCCUCUCGCCAAAAAAACUUUAGAAGUAAAAUUUUGCUUGUUUUUAUGCCCCCGUAAACCUUAAAAAUUAACAAAUAAACAGGGAUUAGAUACCCCUCUAUAUAAAAUAAAUUAAGCCCAGGGUAGUAAAUGCUAUGCAACCCCAAACCCAAAGAUUUUGGCGGCAAUUAACCUUCCCAGAGAGACCUGUUUAUUAAUUUGACAACCCGCAUUACAUCUCACUUUUACUAAAACUUGCAUACCGUCAUCUAAAUUUUAUCUCAAGAUAAAUAUUUCAAAGGUAACAUAAAUGUUAGAUCAACGCGCAGUGUAUGUGAAAGCUUUUAAUGGGUCUCAAUUUAAAUCAAAUAGAAAAAGAUUUAACACCUUUAGAAAGAGGAUUUGGGUGUAAUAAUUUUUUAAAAUAAUAAUAUGACUAAGCCAUUGAUUGUGUACAUAUCGCCCGUCGCCCUCGACCCGAGGUAAGUCGUAACAUAGUAGAAGUACUAGAAAGUGUUUCUUUUUUUUU
rnacentral:rRNA from 1 species